UACGUAGGGUGCAAGCGUUGUCCGGAAUUAUUGGGCGUAAAGAGCUCGUAGGCGGUUUGUCACGUCGGCUGUGAAAACCUAGGGCUCAACCCUGGGCCUGCAGCCGAUACGGGCAAACUAGAAUUCGGUAGGGGAGACUGGAAUUCCUGGUGUAGCGGUGAAAUGCGCAGAUAUCAGGAGGAACACCGGUGGCGAAGGCGGGUCUCUGGGCCGAUACUGACACUGAGGAGCGAAAGCGUGGGGAGCGAACAGG
rnacentral:rRNA from 1 species